UACAGAGGUCUCAAGCGUUGUUCGGAUUCAUUGGGCGUAAAGGGUGCGUAGGCGGCGCGGUAAGUCGGGUGUGAAAUCUCGGAGCUUAACUCCGAAACUGCAUUCGAUACUGCCGUGCUUGAGGACUGGAGAGGAGACUGGAAUUUACGGUGUAGCGGUGAAAUGCGUAGAUAUGACAUAGAACACCAAUUGCGAAGGCAGCUCACUACACAAUCAUUGACGCUGAGGCAACGAAAGCGUGGGGAUCAAACAGG
rnacentral:rRNA from 1 species